CAAGACUGUAACCCUUAGUCUGGAAGAAAAGGACAUUGGACUCAGCAACUCUCUUUAAGGAUGCUAGGUCUGCUCCAAGAGUCUACGGCUGUGGCCAGACAUCUACCCACAGACCCAAGGAAUGUCCCAGAGAAGAAACUGUGGAGAUGAUGUCAAUGAAGGAGUAGAAUCAAGGUACCUUAAAAAAAAAAGUCAACCCUG
rnacentral:lncRNA from 1 species